rnacentral:rRNA from 1 species
AUGCUGGGCCGCCCCGUCCAGGUUGGUGGGGGAUCCGUGAAGGUUCCUGAGGUGCCCCUGGGCAAAUUGCCAGCUUGCGCGUCCGCGAGGCUCCCUGUGUCGGCUGCUGCUCCGACCUCGCCCAUCGUCUCCGCCGCGAAGCUGGCCGCGGCUGCGCUGGCCUCCCGCAAGGCCGACUCGUCCAUAGGUGGGCGGAGGGCCGGCACCGGCGCUACCUCUGCUCCCAUUGUCGGCGGCUCUCCCGGCCAGCUGCCGUCGUCCCCGGCGGCGGCGCCUGCAUCCCUGCCGGGGCCAGAUCAGGCACCUCUGGAGCUCCUGCGGACUGUGUUUCUGCAGCAUGUGGCGAGUCCCUGCUUGGUCGUCACGGCACUUGAUGCCCAGGAGCCGGCGCCUAAUGGUGUGGGCACGUGGGGUUCUACUGCCAAUGACAAAGUGGAGGAGGACGAAGAAAAACUGGUGCCACAAGAUGCCUCCAUGGUCUUCGACUCCACCCUGCCAUUAGUUGGUACCGUCCAUCGUCCUGCUUCAGCUUCAUGUGAGAGUCCGAUGAAAUCCACGCUCCCAUCUAAGGUGCUUCCUCAUGGGUCUUGGGCGUCUGUCGUCUCUGCUACUGUUGGCUCGACAACCCAGCCUGACGUGAUGUUGCAAGCUGCUCUGGCUGAUCAGACUGCGCUGCUGCAGGGUUGGAUGGCACGGGCUGAGAGCUUUUUGAAGAGAGCAGAGGCUGCUUUGGGAAAGCUCACCCUUGUGUCGACUGUGUUGCCGACCGCUCUGACGUCAUGCCCUCCUGGUGUGGUCGGUGUUGCCUCCACGAAGGAAGGGAGCCAAGAGCUAUAUGGGUGUUUCUCUCCUCGUGUUGGAGAUAUCUCAUCAGCACCAUUGACCUUGUCUCCUGUGUUGCGUACUAGUGAGGGUGAGCCCAUCGCCGUGCCCGAGGCUCCAGUUCUGCAGAUCAUGCCCGGCCUACAAGAGCUAUAUUUGUGCCCUGUUUCGCCUUUGUCUGUGGAGCGCGUGGAGGUGGACUCUUCGGUGACCUCGUGUGAGGGGGAGGGGCAGAGGAUCAUGUACUCGAGGGAGCUCCUGCUCGCCGUCGGCAGCUCCGACGACUGCAAGGUGCUGCCCGCCGGCGUCGACCUGUCUAAGCACCCCGAUGACGUGAAGCUCCGGGUUCGCGCGGAGGCUUGGGCCGCCCGCUCGGUUGGAAGAGCAGCACCUGGACGCCAGGGGAGGCCGGAAUUGCCUCAGCGAGCGCGAGAGCCGGAGUCUUUGGAAGCAGGCGUAGGAAGCAAAUCGAAGCCAUGCAUCAGAUUCUUCAGUACCGCAGGUUGCCGCUUUGGUGACAACUGUCGCUUCAUCCAUGACAUCCCCGGCGGCUACCUGGCCGUCGAGAAAAUGGGCAUCCUGACACAGACGGCGCCCGACCCCCGCAAGGAAGCGGUGGCGAGCUUCGGCGCUUCGUCGACGGCCAAGAUCAGCGUGGACGCGUCCCUCGCGGGCGCCAUUAUCGGGCGUGGCGGAGCCACCAUAAAGCUGAUAUCCCGGGCCAGCGGCGCCAGGCUGCGCGUCCGCGACCACGACUGGGACGCCGACUUGAAGAACGUGGAGCUGGAGGGCACGUUCGAUCAGAUCAAGAACGCUUACGACAUGGCCAUGGAGCAGCUGAUCCACGUUGUCAACCAUGACGGCGGCGGUGCCCCUUCGCCUGCGGCGGGAGCAAACACAACGUCCCACGGCGGCGGAUGGCAAUUAGACAGUUUCAAGACCAAGCUGUGCGGGCACUUCGCCAGGGGAUGCUGUACUCAUGGCGACGGGUGCCGCUUCGCCCACGGCGAGGGCGAGCUGCGCAGGCCGGUUCCUGCUCCUCGUGAUCCGGGUGGUUGGUAG